UUUGCUUCCGCAUUUGAGAGUGGUGUUGCUGCUCUUAGGACCGUAUCCAUCUCCUCGACCCUUCUAGAACCCCUCUCUACACACUUCCUCAUUUCUCUACUAAUCCCACCCCAAACGGCACUGUUUCACCUCUUGCUCGCUGCACCGCCAGAGCCACCACUUCUCUUCUUCGCCAAUCACGUUCCAACGAGUGGAAAUAGGCAAACACAAGAUGUACCUAUUCUUAAGGAUUGUUCAAUUUGCAUUCCUUGUAGGUAGUUUUGGAUGCUUAUUGGACCCAAUGGGUGUGGAAAAUCUACCCUCUUGAAGAAGAAGAUAAGAAAGCUUUUGGAAUGACUCACAGUCAAAAGAGGCAACAUUGCUUGAAGCAGAGAAUAUUUCAUGUGGAAAUAGACAAACACAUGAUGUACCGGUUCUUAAGGAUUGUUCGAUUUGCAUUCCUUGCGGGUAGUUUUGGAUGCUUAUUGGACCCAAUGGGUGUGGAAAAUCUACUCUCUUGAAGAAGAAGAUAAGAAAGCUUUUGGAAUGACUCACAUUCAAAAGAGGCAACAUUGCUUGAAGCAAAGAAGAUUUCAUUGUAAAUCUGAAGUGAAUUUCAUUGUCUUUUUUUUUAAUGGUAAACCCGAUAUGAUAUGGUAAGUUCAUUCCCUUUUGUCAUUUUUAUGGUUUUAUUUGUGAUGUUUCCUUGCACUUUGAAAUUUCAAGAAGAAGAGUUUCUUCUAUUUUUUUAUUGUUCUAUUUUUUUUUUUUUUUGAGAUUUUGCAUUCUUUUGUUCUCACUUUGGGUAUUGUUAGGUUUUCAGAUUCUGACAAGGAUAGGAUUCUGGCUUCAAUAUUCACAAAAUUGAUUCUUACUCAAUUUUUGCUGCUCAAGAUUUUGCAUUUUUUUAUUCUUACUUUUGUAAAAUCAAUAGCUUAUUCUUCACUUUUGUAAAAUGAGUGGGUUGGUUAAGGGAAUGAUGGAUUUUGAUUUUUAGAAUCAAAAUUUUGAUUAGUAUAUGCCCGAGGUAAGGAUGUAAGGAAUGGAAAAUAUAGUUGGACAUUUUCUCGAACAGAUUACGUUCAAGCUUUAGAUUUUGAUUGUUUUGAUUUUUCAGUGGAAAUAGACAAACACAGGAUGUACUGGUUCUUAAGGAUUGUUCAAUUUGCAUUCCUUGCGGGUAGUUUUGGAUGCUUAUUGGACCCAAUGGGUGUGAAAAAUAUAUCCUCUUGAAGGUAUUUUGCACGGUUUUGGUCAUCUUUUUGCUAUUUUUUUCACUGUGCUUUUUUUAUGUUAACUAUUAGUUUUAUUUUGUAUUCAAAUUGCAUCACCUUUUUGCUGAUUUUUUUUUCGCUGUGUUUUUUUAUUUCACUAUUAGUUUUAUUUUGUAUUCAAAUUGCAUCACUAGUAGAAGAUAAGAUUAUGGCUUAAUAUUCACAAAAUUAAUUCUUGCUCAAUUUUUCUGCUCAAGAUUCUGCAUUUUUUUAUUCUCACUUUUGUAAAAUCAAUAGUCUAUUCUUCACUUUUGUAAAUUGAGUGGAUUGGUUAAAGGAAUGAUGAAUUUUGAUUUUUAGAAUCAGAAUUUUGAUUAAUAUAUGCCCGGGGUAUGGAUAUAAGGAAUGGAAAGUAUAGUAGAUAGUAUAUAAAUUGUUUUUUUUUUAAAUUCUGGUAGGGUAGGCGAGUAGUAGUGUAGAGGAUGUAUUUCUUUAUAGUACCAAUGUUGAUGAAUAUCUACAUCCUCUAAAUAAUAAUUUUUUCAUUCCGGGUGAUAUUCAUUAUAUUGUGGACACCAUUUUGAUAAAUUGUCCUUCUUUAUCCUUGCAUUUUGAUAUGGUAAGUUCAUUCCUUUUUGUCUCUUUGACGGUUUUAUCUUUGAUGUAUUUAUUUUAUCCAUUUGUGAAUGUUUCCUUGCACUUUGAAAUUUCAGAAGAACGUGAAUCUUCUUUCUCUUGAGGAUAAGCGGUUUAAAAUGCUUUUUGUUUCCCUAUCUAUAUAAGUGGUUUAAAGAUUCAUUUUUUUAUUAAUCCUAACUUGCAAGUUCUAUUAAGGCAUCACUGGUCUCCAUAACAAAGUAAGUCAAUCUUUUUCUUUCCUCUUGGCUGGUGAGUUUGUUCUUUUCUUUUUCUAUCUUAUUGGUAUUCUAUUCCCCUCCCCCCCCCCCUCCCUUUAACCCUCAUUUGAUCCAUUCUUGACCGCUAACAAUGAAGAACUUAUAAGCCAAAAGGAUAAUUUAUCAUCAAGAUUGAGAAUUAAGGUGGCAAGGAUAGUAUUCUCGCUUCAAUAUUCACAAAAUUGAAGUUACUGUAGCUCUUAUAUAAAUGAUUGGAAUGUAUUUGACACAGAAGCCAUUGAUUCUCACUUAAUUUUUGCUGCUCAAGAUUCUACAUUUUUUAUUCUCACUUUUGUAAAAUCAACAGCCUAUUCUUCGCUUAUAGUAAUAGUAGAUUAUAUUAUUGGUUGGUAAAAUGAGUGGGUUGUAUAAUGUAGCAUAUGUUGCUUAAGGGAAUGAUGGAUUUUGAUUUUUAAAAUCAGAAUUUUGAUUAGGAUAUAAAUUGUUUUUUAUUUUAUUUUGAACAGGAUAGGCGAGUAGUAGUAUAGAGGAUGUAUUACUUUAUAGGACUAGAUGUAUAUCUACAUCCUCUAAAUAAUAAUUUUUUCAUUCCUGGUGAUAUUUAUUAUAUUGUGGACACUAUUUUGAUAAA